rnacentral:rRNA from 1 species
AGCGAACGCUGGCGGCAGGCCUAACACAUGCAAGUCGAACGGACCCUUCGGGGUUAGUGGCGGACGGGUGAGUAACACGUGGGAACGUGCCUUUAGGUUCGGAAUAGCUCCUGGAAACGGGUGGUAAUGCCGAAUGUGCCCUUCGGGGGAAAGAUUUAUCGCCUUUAGAGCGGCCCGCGUCUGAUUAGCUAGUUGGUGGUGUAACGGACCACCAAGGCGACGAUCAGUAGCUGGUCUGAGAGGAUGAUCAGCCACAUUGGGACUGAGGCACGGCCCAAACUCCUACGGGAGGCAGCAGUGGGGAAUCUUGCGCAAUGGGCGAAAGCCUGACGCAGCCAUGCCGCGCGAAUGAUGAAGGUCUUAGGAUUGUAAAAUUCUUUCACCGGGGACGAUAAUGACGGUACCCGGAGAAGAAGCCCCGGCUAACUUCGUGCCAGCCGCCGCCGUAAUAC